rnacentral:rRNA from 1 species
GACGAACGCUGGCGGCGUGCUUAACACAUGCAAGUCGAACGGUAAGGCCCUUCGGGGUACACGAGUGGCGAACGGGUGAGUAACACGUGGGUGCUCUGCCCUGCACUUAGGGAUAAGCCUGGGAAACUGGGUCUAAUACCGGAUCGUACUCCGGACUGCAUGGUCUGGGGUGGAAAGAGUUUGCGGUGUGGGAUGGGCCCGCGGCCGAUCAGCUUGUUGGUGGGGUGAGGGCGUACGAAGGCGACGACGGGUAGCCGGGCUGGGAGGGGGACCGGCCACACUGGGAAUGAGAUACGGCCCAGACUCCGACGGGAGGCAGCAGUGGGGAAUAUUGCACAAUGGGCGCAAGCCUGAUGCAGCGACGCCGCGUGAGGGAUGACGGCCUUCGGGUUGUAAACCUCCUUCAGCAUCGACGAAGCGAAAGUGACGGUAGGUGCAGAAGAAGGACCGGCCAACUACGUGCCAGCCGCCGCCGUAA